UAAAGAUGGCCAAUCUGGAGCCCUGCUUCAAAUGGGAGCCCCCCUCCGAUAUCAUCAAGGCCUCCAAGAAGGCCACAGGCCAGUAUAACCAUGCCGACAGAUCAUAGACAAGAGGCUCAUUUGAGAUGAGCCAGGUCUGCGCAGAAUCGAUCACCGCCCAAUGCAUGCUGGUUAGAUUUGUGUCCGACUUGAUCCCGACUCAUGCACACGCGGGCAACGAUAACCUCAUGAGAUCAAGGCGGCCGCAGUUCUGAGACGCAGGCAGUGCAAUUGCUUUUCACCGACUGCAGGACCCAGGCGGACCCAGGACAAAAUCUCACUCCAAGGUGUUUUGAAAAGUUGGCAGGAAAUCCGAAUGGCAACCAUUUUAUUCAAAUGGCCACCCUGGUUGACUGACAGGCUUCCCAGACUUUAAAAUGUUCCUUAAGACGCUACAGACGUAUUCGUGAGAAUUUAACUCGGCCACCUUCCACCGCAGAUACAGAAGACUGACAUAGGCGGAUGUGGUGGAUUGAGAAGCAGCCCAUGCAAAAAAACAGAUCUCUACCUUAAACUGACAUAUUUUCAUAGGGAUUAUGUUACUUAGACUCUUACGGAUUUUAAUAUUCAUAUUUUAAUGUUGAAUAAAUGAAUGUGAAAUUGUAUUUCAGAAUCUAGACAUACUCCAUAUUUGAGAGCACACUAUAAGGAGUAUAAUGACAUCAAGAUGUUGUCUCUAUCAUGUAUGGUUCAUAGGAGGCAUGUAUAGGUCUAAAAAGGGCCUAAAAUUGCCACUUUCAUAAUGAUCAAAAAACAAAACAAUGGUUUGUGAUACAAAUGUAAAAAGCAUGUCACACAUCCUUCCUCCCAAUAAAGUUUCUAUGUGAGAAUUGCCAGAA